rnacentral:tRNA from 3 species
GGGUCGUUAGCUCAGUUGGUAGAGCAGUUGACUUUUAAUAAAUUGGUCGCAGGUUCGAAUCCUGCACGACCCACCA